GCGCCAGAUGCGAAACCGUGUGUGCUCCAAGGGCAACAGAGCUCUUCUCCACUUACUCUUUCCUCCACCUGAGACUUUGGAACCCAGGUCGGUAUCCUCUGUGAGUUCCUGUCCCCAAGCCUGUGUGGGAGUCCAGCAUCAAGGGGACUGGUCCUCAGGAUCUCCUUUCCCAGCACUGAUUCAAGGCACCAAGUUGGAACAGACAGUCAUCUGGAGUCUCGGAGAGGGGCAAGCGGAAGAGGAGGGGCAGGUGGACCAGAACGUCCCUUCUGGUCAUCUUUUCCAAUCAGCAUGGUGA
rnacentral:lncRNA from 1 species